rnacentral:tRNA from 1 species
GCGAGCGUGGUGGAAUUGGUAGACACGCCAGACUUAGGAUCUGGUGCUGCACAGCGUGGGGGUUCAAGUCCCUCCGUUCGCA